rnacentral:rRNA from 1 species
UAAUACGGGGGGAGCGAGCGUUGUUCGGAAUCACUGGGCGUAAAGGGCGUGUAGGCGGUCGGGUAAGUGGGAUGUGAAAGCCCCGGGCUCACCCCGGGAUCGUCAUCUCAAACUGCUCGGCUUGAGUACAGGAGAGGGUGGGGGAAUUCCAGGUGUAGCGGUGAAAUGCGUAGAUAUCUGGAGGAACACCGGUGGCGAAGGCGCCCACCUGGCCUGCUACUGACGCUGAGGCGCGAAAGCUAGGGGAGCAAACGGGAUUAGAUACCCCGGUAGUCCUAGCCGUAAACGGUGAUCACUAGGUGUUGGGAGCAUCGACCCUUCCAGUGCCGCAGCUAACGCAUUAAGUGAUCCGCCUGGGGAGUACGACCGCAAGGUUG